rnacentral:rRNA from 1 species
AUUGAACGCUGGCGGCAGGCCUAACACAUGCAAGUCGAACGAGUGGCGGACGGGUGCGUAAUGUCUGGGAAACUGCCCGAUGGAGGGGGAUAACUACUGGAAACGGUAGCUAAUACCGCAUACCAUCGGAUGUGCCCAGAUGGGAUUAGCUUGUAGGUGAGGGAACGGCUCACCUAGGCUACGAUCCCUAGCUGGUCUUGAAGGAUGACCAUCCAAACGGAAACUGAGACACGGUGCAGACUCCUAUGGGAGGCAGGAGUGGGGAAUAUUGCACAAUGGGCGAAAGACCGAUGCAGCCAUGCCGCGUGUAUGAAGAAGGCCUUCGGGUUGUAAAGUACGUUCAGCGGGGAGGCGUUACCCGCAGAAGAAGCACCGGCUAACUCCGGGCCAGCAGCCGCGGUAAUAC